GGAUGUGGGGGCGAUCUGACUGUGACAUCUGUCACCCCUUUGAUCAUUUGGGUUGAUUCAACUGAUCUGGAUGACUAGGUGAGUGUCCCCUUCCUCCCUCACUGCUCCACAUGAGUCCAAAGCUGCAUUCAGUCAAAGAGGACAACCAUCCCUGACAGAAGAAGAUCAUUCUUUGGUAAACAGUAUACCCAUAGCUGUGCUUCCUUGCUAGAACCUCCAAGCAUGCUUUCCAUUUCAGUAGUCUAUGUGUUGAUCUGCCUAUUGUAAUAAAGCUACAAUUUAAAAAAAAGUCCAGUUUUGCUUCAUAUUGCCUAUCCUU
rnacentral:snRNA from 1 species